GACGAACGCUGGCGGCGUGCUUAACACAUGCAAGUCGAACGGAAAGGCCCUGCUUUUGUGGGGUGCUCGAGUGGCGAACGGGUGAGUAACACGUGAGUAACCUGCCCUUGACUUUGGGAUAACUUCAGGAAACUGGGGCUAAUACCGGAUAGGAGCUCCUGCUGCAUGGUGGGGGUUGGAAAGUUUCGGCGGUUGGGGAUGGACUCGCGGCUUAUCAGCUUGUUGGUGGGGUAGUGGCUUACCAAGGCUUUGACGGGUAGCCGGCCUGAGAGGGUGACCGGCCACAUUGGGACUGAGAUACGGCCCAGACUCCUACGGGAGGCAGCAGUGGGGAAUAUUGCACAAUGGGCGGAAGCCUGAUGCAGCAACGCCGCGUGCGGGAUGACGGCCUUCGGGUUGUAAACCGCUUUCGCCUGUGACGAAGCGUGAGUGACGGUAAUGGGUAAAGAAGCACCGGCUAACUACGUGCCAGCAGCCGCGGUGAUACGUAGGGUGCGAGCGUUAUCCGGAAUUAUUGGGCGUAAAGCGCGCGUAGGCGGUUUUUUAAGUCUGAUGUGAAAGCCCACGGCUCAACCGUGGAGGGUCAUUGGAAACUGGAAAACUUGAGUGCAGAAGAGGAAAGUGGAAUUCCAUGUGUAGCGGUGAAAUGCGCAGAGAUAUGGAGGAACACCAGUGGCGAAGGCGACUUUCUGGUCUGUAACUGACGCUGAUGUGCGAAAGCGUGGGGAUCAAACAGGAUUAGAUACCCUGGUAGUCCACGCCGUAAACGAUGAGUGCUAAGUGUUAGGGGGUUUCCGCCCCUUAGUGCUGCAGCUAACGCAUUAAGCACUCCGCCUGGGGAGUACGACCGCAAGGUUGAAACUCAAAGGAAUUGACGGGGACCCGCACAAGCGGUGGAGCAUGUGGUUUAAUUCGAAGCAACGCGAAGAACCUUACCAAAUCUUGACAUCCUUUGACAACUCUAGAGAUAGAGCUUUCCCCUUCGGGGGACAAAGUGACAGGUGGUGCAUGGUUGUCGUCAGCUCGUGUCGUGAGAUGUUGGGUUAAGUCCCGCAACGAGCGCAACCCUUAAGCUUAGUUGCCAUCAUUAAGUUGGGCACUCUAAGUUGACUGCCGGUGACAAACCGGAGGAAGGUGGGGAUGACGUCAAAUCAUCAUGCCCCUUAUGAUUUGGGCUACACACGUGCUACAAUGGACAAUACAAAGGGCAGCGAAACCGUGAGGUCAAGCAAAUCCCAUAAAGUUGUUCUCAGUUCGGAUUGUAGUCUGCAACUCGACUACAUGAAGCUGGAAUCGCUAGUAAUCGUAGAUCAGCAUGCUACGGUGAAUACGUUCCCGGGUCU
rnacentral:rRNA from 1 species